rnacentral:rRNA from 1 species
CAAGUCGAGUGCGCGUCUGUAGCAAUACAGAUGGCGCACGGCGCACGGGUGAGUAACACGUGGGCAACCUGCCCUUUGGAUGGGGGAUAACUCGCCGAAAGGCGAGCUAAUACCGCAUGAUAUUCAGAAAACUUCGGUUUUUUGACUCAAAGCCCGCAAGGGCGUCUAAGGAGGGGCCCGCGCCCGAUUAGCUAGUUGGUGAGGUAACGGCUCACCAAGGCUUUGAUCGGUAGCCGGUCUGAGAGGAUGGCCGGCCACACUGGAACUGAGACACGGUCCAGACUCCUACGGGAGGCAGCAGUGGGGAAUAUUGCGCAAUGGGCGAAAGCCUGACGCAGCGACGCCGCGUGGGGGAUGAAGCUUUUCGGAGUGUAAACCCCUUUCGACCCGGACGAAUGACCCGCAAGGGUUUGACGGUACGGGUAUAAGAAGCCCCGGCUAACUACGUGCCAGCAGCCGCGGUAAUACGUAGGGGGCCAGCGUUGCUCGGAAUUACUGGGCGUAAAGGGUUCGUAGGUGGUGCGGCAAGUUGGGAGUGAAAUCUCUGGGCUUAACUCAGAGGCUGCUUUCAAAACUGCCGCGCUCGAGUGCGAGAGAGGUCAGUGGAAUUGCAGGUGUAGCGGUGAAAUGCGUAGAUAUCUGCAGGAACACCCGUGGCGAAGGCGGCUGACUGGAUCGCAACUGACACUGAGGAACGAAAGCUAGGGGAGCAAACAGGAUUAGAUACCCUGGUAGUCCUAGCCCUAAACCAUCGGAACUUGGGGUGGCCCGCGUAGGCGGGUCGUCCCGUAGCUAACGCGUUAAGUUCCGCGCCUGGGGAGUACGGUCGCAAGACUGAAACUCAAAGGAAUUGACGGGGGCCCGCACAA